rnacentral:rRNA from 1 species
GACGAACGCUGGCGGCGUGCUUAACACAUGCAAGUCGAGCGGUAAGGCUCCUUCGGGAGUACACGAGCGGCGAACGGGUGAGUAACACGUGAGCAAUCUGCCCAUCUCAUUGGAAUAACCAUUGGAAACGAUGGCUAAUGCCGAAUACGACCACCGAAGGCAUCUUCUGGUGGUGGAAAGCUCCGGCGGAGAUGGAUGAGCUCGCGGCCUAUCAGCUUGUUGGUGAGGUAACGGCUCACCAAGGCAACGACGGGUAGCCGGCCUGAGAGGGUGACCGGCCACACUGGGACUGAGACACGGCCCAG